rnacentral:lncRNA from 1 species
CUCUUGCUUCUUUUUCUAUCCAUCGCUCUCCUCCUCCUCUCUCCCUGGGUCCCGGCCACAUGCGAGAGGGUAGACUAGGACGCUGCAGCUCUGAAAAAAAAAAGAGGGGAAAAACGCUCUGCUGCUAUUUCUACAGGCAGGCCCUCCCCUUUAGCUAGUCUGUGCCAAAAGAGGGAGGGAUUUUUACUACUCCCAGUCCCAGGAUUUUAACCCUCUGCCUGCUCUUGCUUCUCUCUGCAAGAUCUUCUCCUCAAUAUCAUGCAACAAGUGGCUUCGCUUUACUCCUACUUCGACAUAACUGCGCCAUGUUUGAGACAUUUCGGAGGAGCAGCGUUGACUUCGCAGGCCGACUCCGAUCAAAUACAUUUUGCCAGUUUUCGCCGCCUCUAGGUCGUGGUCAGUAGAGUUAAACUGGACAGGGUGGAAUCUGGGUUUUUUUGAUUCGUGCCCUCCUGUGAUGCAAGGGCCUUUUUUCGAGCACGUGCUUCUCGAUUUCUCGCCAUGCUUCUUUUUACUCGUGAGCCGUCCCCGAGGAAGAAGACAGCAGCUUGUUUCCAGUGCGUUCCUUCAGCAGUUGCUUCAUUUUUUCGUACUACCUGUGCAUGUGUCCGGAUUUCUACAGAUGAUUUCUCAUGCAUUUUCCCUGUUCUCUUAUCUCUUCUGCCCUUCCUUCCUUCACCCUUCCAUCUCCAAACCUCUCCUUCUUUUUGGAUUUUUGCCCCACCCUCUCUUCCUCACGCUCUCCCCUUCUCCCUCUCUCCUUCUCUCUCUCUCUCUUUUUCUCUCUCUCUCUCACUCACUCCCUAUCUCUCUCACUCUCGUGGGCAGUCUCCAGUGAAAGGGGAGCAGGAGGGCGGGGCGACGACAGGGCUUUUUCUGGGACAGGUGCCAAUUCCAAACAAAAGACACAAAAAGCCAAAAAAGAGUGAGAUAGUUCCUGACUACUGGCAAAAAGUGGCAUGUUUCAAGAACUUAUUUGCAGGGUAGACAUGUGAGCAUUGGUAAACUGCUCUCCUGUUGCAGGACUUGAAGUUUUAGUUUGGCUUAAAGUGAGUAACUGCAGAGAUCUUGAAACCUCUCUCUCCCCCCCACCCUCCGCUCUCUUGCUCCCGUGAAGGCAUUUGAGUUUCGAGCAGGGGGGAAUAGAAGGAGGGGUGGGUGGAGUUGGGAAGGGGCAGUGGAAGGCGGGGUCAUGCCUACUCUCCUCCCUGUCGAGUCUUCUGCAUUAUUCAUAUGCCCGGGCCAGUGCUGCAAUCUGACUGGCUGCCUGGCUUAGCAUUCAGCCGACAUUCAGCAGCUCUGUUUGCUAACAUUCCUCAUUCAAAGCCUUGUUAACUGCCAGACGGGAGGAACACGCGACUCCAUGGGAGACCCACAUGGCCUCCUUAUUGUGGCGGGCCCUGACAGUUGCAGACUAGGGGGUGGCAGACACGGGAGAGCGAGGGGAGUCAGGUUGUAGAUGGUAGAGAGCAGUUAGCUGAGGUUUUGCAGGUUACCCGAGGCUUAGAGACCAGUUCUAGCCAAGGCGGCUGGAUUGACAGGGUAAAACCCAGACAGAUGGGCAGACAGACAUACAGACAUGGCGUUUAGGCAGACAGGAGGCUGGUACUUUCUGGGACUCUGAAUGGGUCUCUCGUUGGUGUGCCCGCCUACUCCUUGCAGGGAGUGCAGAGCUGUGUGACUGAAUUCGGGCUCCUUCUCUGCCCUUCUCUACAGACAGGAUAUGUGGACAUGCUGGGAGCAGCCACAGAGGGAUCAAGCACCACAAACGGCGGAGAUUUCGACGCUUUAUUCCGGAUAGCUGAUGACUGUAGUGUGUGUGCCAGUUCCCCUCAAAGUCUCAGUGGGUAAGUCAGAGAGUGUGUGUGGGUGUGGAGGUAAGUGUGUUUGUGCAUGUAUGCCUGUGCAAGUGUUUUUGUGUGAAAAAAAGACUCAAAUGCAGAGGUUUUACGUCUGAGAAAGGAUGAGACAAGCGCCUCAGUGCGGGUUUUGCUUUGCCCCGAUCUCCAUGUUCAUGUAUUGAAAACGUUAAGUCUGGGUGUUGAUUCUCGAGGACGACAUGACGACCCAGAGAGGGGAGGCUAACUGACUAUGGACGAACCAACGAGGGAAACGUGGCAAGGCCUUUGAAUUUUGGACGGAACUGAUCUAAUCUCUCCUCUCCUACGUUUUUACCUGCUGUUCGCUCUCCAGGUCAGUCUUUUGUGUGAGACAGAAGGACAGUUUUGGAGGGAGCAGAGGGGCGAGUGCUGUAAUGUUGGGCUUAGGGCCAGACUAGGCCUGCUACACAAGGCCAAGCCCCACCACAAUGCUCUGUCUCUUUCUCUCUCAGGCACUCUCUGAGUCUCUCUCCCUUUUCAGUCCUGGUCAGCUAUCAGAAAAACUACAACCCGCUCCGCUUUAAACGCCUCGAUACACGAAAACCUCGUCCUCACGAAUACAAUCAAGGUUUUUAGUCCAUAUUAAAAGGUUUAACGUUUGAAAAUGGGUCAUCGCUGACACGUGGCCACACACAGCGUUGAUGAAGCACAAACAGGCCUUUUGGACCGACCGCUUAUUAAGUUUUUUUUUUUUUACGAAUGUGGUUCACACACACGUUAUUCUCAUUUUCUCGAAUUUUCUCUACAUGCAUAAGCAAUUAAAAAACUACAAGGCAGUCAUUGGAUCCGAUGUUUCUCUACGGAGCGACUGGACCUUCGUAAUUUUUAUAAACCCAAUUGAAGAAUUAAUUUUAAGGUAAAUGGACAUAAAUCACACACCUGCUUCAUUCUCUAGACAGAAUAACACCUCUAAUAUCGUCUUCACUGCAUCGUAUUUUCACAAAAUAAAAAAAAGAUAUAAGCCACACCCCCUUCGAUGCCUCAGGAAUCCCAUCUCUUAAUUAUUAUUCAUAAAUCAGUUUCAUGAACAGGCGCUAAUUGAAGAAGCUUACACUUAAAUGGACUUUGCCUGUCGCUGUGGCUUUGUGUUCAAUACCACAGCACAUCAGACAGUACCAUGACCAGUAGGUAGGAGUGUAGGCAGUGUGAAUCAUCACUGAUAGCUCUAGUCAUCCCACCUACGUCCCACGUUACGCACUACAGGGCCUUAUGUGGGCUCCACCAUCACCCCCUCCCCUGCUCCCCACACACCCACCCCCCCCUGGCAGGGAACCCUACCUCUGCUUCUCUUAUUAGGUGUGUCCGGACCCCCUUUUCUGAGACCCUAAGCUUGGUGCGAUUACGAGCGAGUACGUCAGCAUGCGUCACUGCCGAACACCAAUCAGCUCCCACGGUGCAGCCAAAAAAAUGCAGCAGAAUCAAAUGAGAUCGUAUUUUUUUGAUUCUGCUCUCUUCUCUUCGAUUUUCUCCUUUUCUACCGUUUUCUAUCGUGACAAACGAACGCUAAUGUUUGCGCAGACUCGUGACGCUUUUUACCACCAAAUGACGGCGUUGAAUACAGAGAGGAAUACUAUUUUAAACACCAACCAAAUUCACUUUUACGUUCGUUUUUGAUGUAAAACGAUCUAAAACAUCCUCUGUGUACUUACGUCUUCGUUUCGUAUAAAUCGAAAUGAAAUAUUAAAAUAUUAGCUCUCUGAAUGUGAGUUAAGAGUUAAAAAAGCAAGAGACGAUGACGAAAAACAACUUAGAGUCUAUAAAAAAAUGCUGAUUUUUAAGAGUGAUUAAAAAAAAAAAAUUUGGAUUGCUGUAAUAUCAGAAUCUGUUACCUCUACAUCAGACACAAGGAGCCCAGAAUCACCAGCAGUGUUUCUAAUGCUAAAAAAGUGAUGUUGAUAAAAAUUGCAGAUUUUGCCGACACAUCAAAUCCUCAAAG